GAUCCUGUAGCUCAGUCGGUUAGAGCGUUGGUCUUAUGAGCCGAAGGUCGAGAGUUCAAGCCUCUCUAGGAUCA
rnacentral:tRNA from 1 species